rnacentral:rRNA from 1 species
GGCGAACGCUGGCGGCGUGCUUAACACAUGCAAGUCGAACGGAAAGGCCCUGCUUUUGUGGGGUGCUCGAGUGGCGAACGGGUGAGUAACACGUGAGUAACCUGCCCUUGACUUUGGGAUAACUUCAGGAAACUGGGGCUAAUACCGGAUAGGAGCUCCUGCUGCAUGGUGGGGGUUGGAAAGUUUCGGCGGUUGGGGAUGGACUCGCGGCUUAUCAGCUUGUUGGUGGGGUAGUGGCUUACCAAGGCUUUGACGGGUAGCCGGCCUGAGAGGGUGUCCGGCCACAUUGGGACUGAGAUACGGCCCAGACUCCUACGGGAGGCAGCAGUGGGGAAUAUUGCACAAUGGGCGGAAGCCUGAUGCAGCAACGCCGCGUGCGGGAUGACGGCCUUCGGGUUGUAAACCGCUUUCGCCUGUGACGAAGCGUGAGUGACGGUAAUGGGUAAAGAAGCACCGGCUAACUACGUG